GCUAGCAGUCAUAACACCCUGCAACUCACAACUGUCAGCCCACUGAAGCUAAGCAGGUGUGAGCCGGGUCAGUACCUGGAUGGGAGCCUUCCUGGGAAAAACUAAGGUUGCUGCUGGAA
rfam:Lepisosteus oculatus linkage group LG18, whole genome shotgun sequence.